rnacentral:rRNA from 1 species
UACGUAGGGGGCAAGCGUUGUCCGGAAUCAUUGGGCGUAAAGAGCGUGUAGGCGGCCCGGUAAGUCCGCCGUGAAAGUCCAGGGCUCAACCCUGGAAUGCCGGUGGAAACUGCCGGGCUGGAGUCCGGAAGAGGCGAGUGGAAUUCCUGGUGUAGCGGUGAAAUGCGCAGAUAUCAGGAGGAACACCGGUGGCGAAGGCGGAUCUCUGGGCCUUACCUGACGCUGAGGCGCGAAAGCUAGGGGAGCGAACAGG